AUUCUCUUGCAUUCCACCCGGGGAACAAGACAGCACCGGGUUUCACACUGGCAAGGCAGGAGGCUGUGUGCUGCCAGAACGACCAGCAGGGGGCGCAAAGGCCACGCCAGGCACCUGCUGGCCUCAGAGAAAACAGAAAGGGAACCAGGAAGCCCACUCCUGCUGUCCUUUCUCUGCAAGGAAAUGUGCCAGGGCACUGCAGCCCAGACAGUCGGCAGUAGAGGACCCAUGAAGUAUCUUUGUGCAAAGAAAGCAGCAAAGAGAAUUAAGAGAAUUGCAUCAUAUAAAGAGUGAAUUAAACCAUCUAAAGGAGCAAAAAUUCAUCAUCACAUGGACAAGAAAUUAAGACGUAACAUCCAUCUCACUAUUUGCAAAGUGGCUUAUUCCUACAGACAAUGCAGAUAUGUAAAAAGCAGCUGGAAACCUAGGAGCAGAAGCCCAGCAUAAAGAUCUCUGAAAGCCUGGAUGCGUGGAUUCCUCUCUUACUUCCCAAAACGGUGGGGUGGAAAUGUGAAUAUCAGCAUGAUGCACAGAUCUCUGCAGAUGUCCAGCGAACUGAAUUUCUAGACGCUAUAAUCUAUGUUCUUUCCCAACCCCCACUUCAGUUUACAUAUCGCAGGCCAUAGAUCCUGUUUGUUGAAAAGCGAUCAGCUAGAAAACAAGAGUGGUUAUAACCUGUGCUGCCCAGUGAUCAGGAAAAGAGAGCGGAUGAAACUUCCAUGACUUUCUGUUAGUCUGAUUAAUAUCCAUGCCAAAUGUAAGAUUAGUUAAAAGGCCUUAUUGCUUCCCACCAAAAUGUUCCUUCACUAGCUAUAUACUACACUGAAAUGUAAAGUUAUGGGUAUGUUUAACAGUUUAAUUUGUCAGUGGGCAUCCAACUCUUCUAUUUGUGUUUUUACUUUGAGCUUAAUUGGAGCAGACAAAUAGAGGUGACCUCUAACUGUUUUCUUCCUGAAGCCAUUUUCAGGGCAGAAGUGCUUUACCCACUUCAUUGAGAAACCACCUUUGCAUGCAGUACCCUGAGCUGUCUUCAGCACACCAAGCAUCCACAACAUGGGAAAUACCGUGCUUUAAAUGUUGCUUUAAUCACAGUGCUCAUGAGUAAGGGCAUGUCCUGUCUCUUAUCCAUGAAAACACUCCCACAAAAUGAAGUCACACCCAGUAUCUGUUAACGGAGAUACUGAGUGGGUGAAGAAGACUCAUUCCCUAAUGCAAUUCAGGUCACACAGGGUAAAAAAGAAAAAAAAAUCCUUUUCUGUUGAGGAUACAGAUGGAGAGAAAAUGGAAAAUGCCUUUCAGGAAGCACAAGCCUAGUUUUCUAAUUGUGUUUCAGUGAACACGCAGGUGAACUUACCUGUGUGGCUUGGUAUUGUGGUGGGUUUUCAGCUUCUUCUCCACCAAAUCCUUUGAAAAGCAGCAGUGGCAGAAACAAAUAACCCAAUUAAAAACAAUAAUAGCAACAAUAAAAAAAGAAAAGAUGAAGAAA
rnacentral:lncRNA from 1 species